UACCACUACUAUGGAAUAACUCAAGGUUGAUAAUCCAUCAAUUAUUUAACUGCAACAAAUAAUACAUUUACGAUCUUACCCUUAUUUCCAUGCUCCCACUAUAAAUUUUUGUCCACUUCCUUAUUACCAUUAAUUCAUAUAUGUACAAUAUAUGCACACAAAACCACCCCUCAUCACUUGUAUACGUCCCCCAAUUUCCAGAUAGAAGUGUCCCCAUGGCUCCACAAAAGUAAGUCGUUGCACACACAGAACAAGAGGAAGAUACACUACUAUUUAUCAUUUAUGCACCUCAAGAAGAGUUCC
rnacentral:lncRNA from 1 species